rnacentral:rRNA from 1 species
UGGGGAAUAUUGGACAAUGGGGGCAACCCUGAUCCAGCGAUGCCGCGUGUGUGAAGAAGGCCUGCGGGUUGUAAAGCACUUUCAGUUGGGAAGAGAAUCUAUUAGUGAAUACCUAAUAGAGGAGACGUUACUAACAAAAGAAGCACCGGCUAACUCUGUGCCAGCAGCCGCGGUAAUACAGAGGGUGCGAGCGUUAAUCGGAUUUAUUGGGCGUAAAGGGCGCGUAGGCGGAAAGACAAGUCAGAUGUGAAAUCCUGGGGCUCAACCUCAGAACUGCAUUUGAAACUAUCAUUCUAGAGGGUAGGAGGAGAAAACGGAAUUCCACAAGUAGCGGUGAAAUGCGUAGAUAUGUGGAAGAACACCGGUGGCGAAGGCGGUUUUCUAUCUUAUUCCUGACGCUGAGGCGCGAAAGCAAGGGGAUCAAACAGGAUUAGAUACCCUUGUAGUCCCUGAGCGGGCUGGCAAGGCGCAU